GUGAUUGAGGCUCUGCAGAAGGUGGUUAAGGAAAAAUGUGGGAAAAGUGAACAUGACAGUUGGAGGCGGGUAUAAAGUAAUACCAUGGUAUUAGAUAUAUCUUGGGAAGGUAUGUGGACAACAUCCUAAUCAGGAUUUUUUGCAUACAUUUUUUCUCACAAAAUUUCAGGCUGACUCAACAACUUGAUGAUUAGCAAGUUUUAUACAGUAGAAGGCAAGGAUUGGCUUUACCUGUAUUUGACAGUAUUUUGGUUUUGCUCUUAAAUAUGCGGCUUGUAAUGAUAAAGGGGAAUACCAGACGCCCCGAGUAUCUAAUUACCAGGCGGGCUGGUGCAUAGAUUUUCACUGCCAUCUCUGGUUAAAGUAGUAGCACAAAAAAAGAAGACCGACAGCAGACAACAGGCUGAAUCUCUGACAGCUUCUAAACAAUUUAAUGAAUGUAAGACUAUUUUUUUGUUGCUCACAACUCACUAGAUGUAACUUCAUAGGAACACAUAACACCUGUAAAUACAUUAUACUGGUAUGAUUGUGUAAUGGAUAAUGGUAGCAUCAUGUUCCUGUUGAUGUAGACUUGCUACAAGUUUAUUUUUACAUCAGCUUUAAGAUAUUGUCCAUCAGGAAUAUUUACAUGUCGCCACUGGCAACCUUUUAAUGCAGCUAACUGCUAAGUGGUACACUUGUAUUGUUUAUGAACACAUUAUUUACAUCUCAUCCGCCUUCGGUGAGAGAAUUAUACACCGCUAUCAUCUUUGAAUGCAUAAUUUUCUAUCUUAAUGUGUAUUCAGAGGACACUGUGCACUUAUGCGUUGGCCUUAUGUUUCAGCAGGGCUAGAGGAGACAACCCAUUACUGCUCCUACAGCAUUUCAGGAGUUUAUCAAGAUAAUGAUCAAUGUUGCUACCAGAAGGGAAUACAAUAUAUUUUUUAUUAUAUGGAAGGAUCAUUGUGACCAAAUGGCACCUAUUUAACCUUUAUUUUGUGAGUCCUCGUCUUGAUCAAUAUCAUAAAUACCUAUUUUAGCUAGAAAUAAAGUUAAUGUAUUUACCUUGUGCAGUGAUCAAAUCAGAGUUGCUUAUUUUUAUAAUAUAAAAUGUGUCUAAUUUGAAUUAUUCUAAUGUAUUUAAUGAUGAAUAAAUGUAAUGCAUAAAGUUAUAAAAAUCGAAAUUCUUGAGACAUCUCAACUGAAUAAAAGAAAUUAAGCUGAAUCAGUUCAUCAAGCAACUAAUUCUCCACCUAAUUUGGAGAAGCAGUCGUGAUGUGUGCAGCGGAUUGCACUUAGAUCACUUCUAUUCGUACAACAAGAGACCACAACACGAUCAGGGAGAGCUGUAUUACCCAGGCCUGCAGUUUUCAAUCUCCUCUGCGCUGAACUGGAACCUCCUGCCAGGUUCCUUUGACCGACUCAUUCAUUAGAGCUGGAAAGGCCAGAGAAAUCCUAGCUCAGCAGGUCCACCUCUUAGACCAUUUAUAGCAGGCUAAUCAUCAAGAUGCUAAUGGAAGUCUUAAAGGGGAAUUACUCUCAAAAUGAAACCAGCUAUCAUCAUAAUGUAGAAACCUGAAUGCUGAUGCACACGUUAAACUGGGAAACUUGAUAUAUGAAUACAGAUUAUUCAUGUGAGGAUACACUGAUGAUGUCUGUAUUGGCACAAUGUCAAAUAUUUAGCAUUUUGUUUCCUUCUGGUUUGUUUUCCAGAUGUUCUAAUUUCUUUGAGCUAAUAACAAUUUUAUUUGGUCAGUUAAAUCAAUAACAAUGUAUGAAGGUCUUAUGUUGGAAUGUAAUUGGGUUUCAGGAUUAACCUGCUAUAUUUUAAAACAUCUUGUUUCGAUUUCUUUUGUACUACCUACUUGCUACUUGUCUGUGUGCUGCUGCAACGCUCGAAUUCCCCCUCUGGGGAUCAAUAAAGUAUCUUAUCAAUGAUAAGUGUUGAUGCUCUUCUAUCAAAUAAAAAACUGUCUGUUUCCACCAUUCAUGUUUGGCAUUGUUUGAGGGUGUGUUUGUAAGUGAUGGAGAGUGUGAAAAAUUGGGGUUUAUCCCAGAGUCCAUGGAUUUAAGUCCUAUCUUUUUUCAAAAGUGAGUUUUAAUAUUAUAGAGAAUACUUUACAGAUAGAUGGCGACAGGAACCGUGCCCCCUACCUUAUUAUGUCAAAGUCGUGCAAUUAAAGAAAACAGCGAUUUAUAAUCUAAAUACAUCCUGUGUGAAGCUGUUUUAAUUGAAAAGACUUCUCAAUUCAAAUCAAGUAGAGGAAUGAGGCUGCACGUCUCUGGGUGACUUGUAAAUGUGUAGAGGGGCCGCAAUGCAAAGAGUACAGUGUAAAGCUAACACAAUGACAACUGGCAGGUAUCAACCAUUAACCUGGUUUCUAUUAGUAGAUGCAUUAAGACCUUCAGAGAGCAGAGAAAAAAAUCCAAGCGUAAGAAAACAAAAUCAGAGAGCAUAAGUUUCAGAGCCGGAGAGAAAUCUGAGCAAGCGACAAUAUAUCAGAGAGCCAGCAUACAUUGUGAGUAGAAACACAACAAAUUUAAGAACGAGCGAUGGCUAUUUGAGUACAAAAGCAGGUUUUAAAGGGUCAUUAUAUUCAAAAAAAUAUUAACGCAAAAUUCAUGUCAUGCUGUCAAACUUUUAACAUUCCUCUUGAAUUAAGAUUUCACUCUCAAAGAAUGCAUUGUAAUCAAGGAGAAAAAUAAAUUCUCUGACUUUUAGGAAAAACAAUGAUGAUGACAUCUGAAAAAAGUGUGGUAAAGUACAAGACCCAA